rnacentral:rRNA from 1 species
AACUAACGCUGGCGGCGUGCCUAACACAUGCAAGUCGUACGAGAAAGCCGGCUUCGGCUGGUGAGUAAAGUGGCGCACGGGUGAGUAACGCGUGGAUAAUCUGCCCUUAAGUGUGGAAUAACGUACCGAAAGGUGCGCUAAUACCGCAUAAUGCCUGGCAACACAAGUUGUCCGGCCGAAGAAGGCCUCUGUUUACAAGCUUUCGCUUCAGGAUGAGUCCGCGUACCAUUAGCUUGUUGGUGGGGUAAUGGCCUACCAAGGCUGCGAUGGUUAGCUGGUCUGAGAGGAUGAUCAGCCACACUGGAACUGAGACACGGUCCAGACUCCUACGGGAGGCAGCAGUGAGGAAUAUUGCGCAAUGGGGGCAACCCUGACGCAGCAACGCCGCGUGAGUGAGGAAGGUUUUCGGACUGUAAAGCUCUGUCGAGCGGGAAGAAGUGUACCAUGGCUAAUAUCCAUGAUAUUUGACGGUACCGCUAGAGG